rnacentral:lncRNA from 1 species
CCUAAGCUCCAUGUUUUCCUGACCGUGUUCUCCACAAAUCACUCCUACAAAUGUUUCCCAACCAGUUACAGGCAGUUAUCGCCCCCCAUAUCUUCCUCCCACAUCGCUGAAAACUGCAUAUGCAACCUACGCUCAUCAUAAUCCUUCCUUUUGUAGCAAAAAUUGUGUUCAAUCACCUUCAUCCUCACUCUUAUUUCUUACACAAAGCCCUAAUUUUUUUUUCUUCCUUCUCGAAUUCACAUCUAAAUUGGUGAAAUUAGAAGGUUCGUCCAUGUGAUCACAAUGCAUUUAACAUAAAAGAAGAGACGGAUGUGAAAUCAAGCAACGAUGGAGGAUGGCCCAAAUUUUGGAGGGUGGAUUAUGAUGGAGGGCCACCCUCACUUUUUUCUUCAUUCUAAAACAUAUAUUACAUGAUGGAGGGUGACCCAAAUUUUGUUUGGGGUUUUUAGCAGGUGAACGCUCCUCCAUAAAUCGUACUCCAUUGCUGGAAAGUAUCAGAAAGCUUACAAUCGGUAGAAUUUGACUCAAGAGGUUACAAAACAGUUUCCAAGUGCAGUUCUAUCAACCCCCACUACCCAAAAUUGCGGUACACUUUUCUUAUAGAAACCAUACAUCCAACACUCUGGUUCUCCAGACGCAGAAGAGGAAGAGCAAGAUUCGAGAGCUGACUCUUCGAGAAAUUAGCGACAUUAAGCAAUUUCAUUAGCAUGAAAUUAUUUUAUUCGAUUGGCAGCAGGUGGCAGCACAUAGGUAGAGCAUCCACUUCAACUGUUAUAAGAUCAUGGGGGUUAUGUUAUUUUAUUUGAAAGAACUGAGAAGACACAUGUAAGCUGCUUGGCUGCCUUCUUUUAAAUUUGUGUCAUAUUUAUUCUUCUUGACUUACCAUACAUUAAAAUUUUAAAUUCUUCACUGACUUCAGUAUAAUAACAUAAAACCGUAUGAAAUAUGAUCUUGGUUUUAUAAAGUGAGAGACGCCCAAAAGCUACGAGGUCUAAAACUGAGGCGCGAAGCGCAAAAGCAGCGGGCUUUUCGUACCCAAGGCGCAAAGUGAGUAUAUAAAAUCUAUUGUACAACAGUUUAAUGCAUAAAAACAACGUAAAAACACCCUAGGUACAAGAGGCGCGCUCCUCAGGUCAGAAAAACCGUCCAAAAUUGCUCUAUUUGGUGCUUCUUGUAAGAAGCACGCCUCAGGCUAUUAAAGGUGCCAAGGCUUGCGCCUCACGCGUCAGGCGCACUUUUUAAAACCCAGAAUAGGAGGUGGUGUUAUAGAAGAGUUUUAGAAGGAAUGGAUUGUUCCCACAGCCCACACCCUUAAUUUCAUUAUAUAACCGAAUUCCAAAGUCAUGAGCCAAAGCUUGGAAAUUGAGGAGAAUAUCAACAAGAUCAGAUGGUGUUAAAGAACUAACAACGCCAUGUUUUUGCUGUCCUUUAAUUAUAAAACUCUAAAAUUCUUGAAGGUACAGGUUCUAGAAAAAGGUCUGAUAGUAUUAUAGUACCACUGUAAUAGGUUGCCAUAUAAUGUUUUUUUAUAUUAUACACGGUCUAAGGUGGCAUCAUGGGGGUUGGUUGGGUCGCGUAACCUGUUAAAACGGAUAAUAUUUUUAGGGUGGGUCCAAGCAUGUUGGAUUGGGUGAGUUGACCUGCGAUUACAGAAAACUAUUAUUAGUGUAAUAAUUUUAAUUUUUAAUAAAAUUAUCUAAGACUUUCUUUGCAUUGAAGGGUCGAAACUGUUUUUUUGUGUGGAUUAGAUGGGUCGUGUAACCUUUCCCGAUUGCAACACCAACACGUUGUACGUUACCAUCAGGAGAUGCUAGUUGUUAUGGUGAUGCCACAUGGGGUUCAAGGACUACAGUUAGCUCUAGCUUCAAUAUAUAGAUCAUAGUUCGACGGAUGUCGUUGGGCACUACAAGUCUACAACAAAGUUGAAACAUAUCUUUAUAUUCGGAAUACUGUCCAAGGCAGUUGUGUCUACUGUAGAGGAGAUAAAUCCUAAUGUCUACAUGUGAGCUGUUCUUUGUUACUUUGUGCCUGAUGGGGUGUCUCUGCACUCAAAAGAACUGAAAGAACGGGCACAUCAAAUAGGAAUGUAAACGUUUUACCCACAAGCUAUCCAAGGUUACAACACUAUUAGAUGUCAUUGACGAAGUCUUUUCUUUGACAUAUAGAUAUGUCCAUUGCUACUUCGAGUUUUCACCAAGGUCGGCGGUCAUCACAGCCACGUAGACUGUAUUCAAAAGACGAAAUUUAAAUAUAUACAUGGAUGGAUGCUACACUUCAUGAGCUAACUGAUCUGGUAUGCCAAAUGAUCCAUAUUUGGACAAUUUAAUUUGUGCUUUGUGGUCGAAAGUGUAUUCCAUGUUCUUUUUUGUUCCUUGAACACGCUAUCCAUUAAAAAAAACACCACUUAGGAUCAAGUGGGUUAUGCAUUAUGUAUGUAAUAAAAUAUGGGAGUUCUUCAUCAAAAGAUAGUGCUGUUGUAUGUAUGUAAUAAAAUAUGAAAGCACUUUUAUUUGUCU